UUUGUUUUCCAGCUGUCUUGUAAAAUGUUGUCUGUGUUAAUAUGAAUAUAAACCAGUUUUAUAGUAAAUAAAUGCUUCAGUUCUAUAUUUUACAUAUUAAACACCUAUUUUUUGAAGCUGUAAAACUCAAGAUGCCAAAGUACGCUGUUGCUAAAGGAAAGAAAAGAGGAAUCUUUGAUACCUGGGAAGAAUGCAAGCAGCAAGUGACCGGUUUCCGGGGAGCCAAAUACAAGAAAUUCGAUUCUAUGUAUGCAGCUGAAGAGUAUAUGCGAGAGCAUGCUCCCGAUGUUGCAACUACAAACGUGGAGCAGCGUUCAAAAAUUGUACCGGAUCCUACCUCAAUAGCCAUUAGCGAUCCUGUCUCGUUAGCCAUAAAAAAUCACAGUGAAAACGCCUUUCCAAUCGCCAGAGUGUCUCCGGCUGAAACAUCUCUGAAUGAAAUCAAUAAGAAGAUUCAAGUGCUUGAGUCCAAGUUUCUGUUGUUCUCGGACAGUGUUAAUCUGAAGUUUGACAACAUUUUGAAGCGACUGGCGGUGUUGGAAAGUCGAGCGCUUGGCCCUCCUGGAUCAAGUAAUGGCGUAACUACUGUUGAUUUGACCAAGAAUGAUGAUCAACAACCUACAGCAAGUGGAUCCACUCCAAAAAAGAGGAAAGCCGACUCGGACGAGAGUGAAGAGGCAGCACAUCUAGGCAAAUGCAACAUAGUCGAUGAGGUGGACGGAUACAGCGAUGGCUGGCUGAGGCAUUACGUGCCUGACGCGUCAGGCUUCCUCAUCUCGCCCGACGGAGUGGUCAUUGUCUACACGGAUGGGGCCUGUACUAACAAUGGCCGCCAAGGGGCCAAAGCUGGUAUUGGUGUGUGGUUCAACCACCAACAUCCACUAAAUGUAUCAGCACCAGUGAGAGGAAGACCAACAAAUAAUAAUGCUGAAAUACAGGCGGCAACUGAAGCGAUAAGGCAGGCUUCAAAAGCAGGCGUUAGACGACUUCACAUCUUCACCGAUUCUCAGUUCCUGAUAAACUGUAUUACGGGAUGGAUUUACAAGUGGAAGAGGAAUGACUGGGUCACCGCUGACGGCAAACCUGUCAAAAACAAGAUAGAACUUGUCGAGCUCGAUCAAUGCAUUCAAACUAUGAUGGACUCUGUUAUGUGGACCCAUGUAAAAGGACAUGCUGGAGACGUGGGUAAUACACAAGCUGACUUGUUGGCUCGUCUUGGUGCGGAAAUGAAUGCUCUAAAUUGAAAAUGAUGUCUAAAUUAUUGGUCUCUACGAUUUAAUUUUCAUUUCAAUUCGAAAAUCACUCCAAGUGCGGUGCCGUCUCCGUUUCGAAGGUUGGCAAUCAUCAAGGCGAUUUUAACUUUUGAGACCGCAGAUCGAAAUAGGUCAUUAUUGCUGCAUCCAAACCAAUCCCGAAGGUUCUUUAGCCAUGAGUUUUGUCUCUUUCCUACAGAUCUCUUUCCUUGGACUUUCCCCUGCAUAAUAACUUGAAGUAAUUGAUAUUUUUCUCCUCUCAUAACAUGUCCCAUGUAUAGCAGUUUUCUUCUCUUAAUUGU
rnacentral:misc_RNA from 1 species